rnacentral:rRNA from 1 species
UACAGAGGGUGCAAGCGUUAAUCGGAAUUACUGGGCGUAAAGCGCGCGUAGGUGGUUAGUUAAGUUGGAUGUGAAAUCCCCGGGCUCAACCUGGGAACUGCAUUCAAAACUGACUGACUAGAGUAUGGUAGAGGGUGGUGGAAUUUCCUGUGUAGCGGUGAAAUGCGUAGAUAUAGGAAGGAACACCAGUGGCGAAGGCGACUAUCUGGUCUGUAACUGACACUGAGGCGCGAAAGCGUGGGGAGCAAACAGG